CCCAGCCAUGGUGGACCUGGGGCCUGCAGAGAAGGCGGGAGCCGAGCCUGUGGGCUUCUAAGAGGACAGGGCCACCACGCUUGUGCGCCGUGACACCCAGGGCGCCCAGCAGCCGGAGACCUUCUUCGCCUCGGCUUCCCCGGCUGUGCCCCCCAAGGCGGAAGUUCCGUGGGCAGCAAUAGAAGCCGGGAGGCGGGAGCAUCCCCUCUACUGCGCCUCGGCCUCUUCAACUGAGACUGUGUGGAGGCCGAAGGCAGCCUCUAAGUGCUGACCAGCCCCUUCCCUGGGCCCUCGCCAGAAGCUUGCGCCCGCUGCGCCUUCAAACCCGUGGAGCUGCUGCCACCAAACCCGUGGAGGCAGCCACUGGCUGACCUGGUGCUGGAGGCCUGGCCGCCCCUGCUAGUGGCCACUGGACUGCGCCAGGCGGGCGAGGCGGAGCGUCUGUCAAGCUGCAGCAACGCGGGACGAGCAUGAGAGGAUCGUGCAGGAGGAGAAGCAGCGCCUCUUUAUGGCCUUGGGUCCCGGGCGGUCAUGGUCUCCGGCUUCGGCCUCCAGUGUGAGCAGAAGCAGUAGCUGCGGCAGCGCUAGCCUCCCGGCCUCACCUGCACAGUGUGGCCCGCAAAGCCUCCUCCAGCGCCUCACCAGCUGGCGGACAGGGCUCUCCUGGAUCUUGCAGGUCUGUGCCUAGCAGCUGCCUGGGAAUAUUCCUGGAGGACCGGGACUGGAGGGUCCAGGUGGUUGUGCCUGCUGCAGAGGACACCAGGCACAUCUGGGUGAAGGUGACUUUGCAAUCAAGACUUCCCCUGUGUUGGUUGCGUUUUCAGAAGGAGAAAUAGUGACCCAAGUGCCUCCAGACAAAGGACUGCACCUGCAGGCUGCCCUUUUACAAUCUGAAGAACCUGAAAAGGAACCAGUACCGGCUCACAUACUAGAACAUGUCAUCUCUGAGGCAUGGUCAUCUGGCACUCCGGAAAGAGUUGUAGCUGCCCAUCCAGUAAAAAUUGAGCUCAAGGCAGGAUCAAAUCAACUCAGGUAUGUCAAUAUCCUGUGUGAGGAAAUGCAUUAAACCAGUAAUAGAACCUUGAAAGAAAGUGGACUCCCAGUGUUAAAACCUGGCACUAAUGGAGAAUAUAGAUUUGUCCAAGAUUUAAGGGUUAUAAACAAAAUUGUGAAAGAUAUCUAUCCAGUUGUGCCCAAUCCUUACACCCUAUUGACUUUACUGACUGGGAACUUCAAAUUUUUCUCUGUAUUAGACCUAAAGGAUGAUUUCUUUUGCAUAACUGUGGGCCUUGAAUCCCAAAAACUAUUUGCAUUUGAAUGGAGAGACCCAGACAGUAAAGUUAAGGAGCAACUUACAUGGACCGUUUUAUCCCAAGGAUUUAAGAAUUCUCCCACACUUUUUGGAGAGUUCUUAGCAAAAGAUUUGCAUGAUUUGCAACUGCAUCAAGGGGUCCUUUUGCAAUAUGUAGAUGACAUUUUCAUAGCCAGUGAAACUGCUGAAGAUUCAGAUGCAGAUGCUAUUAAGACCCUGAAAUUUCUAAAUGUUAGGGGAUAUAAAAUGUCUCAGAGGAAAGCUAAAAUCACUAAGCCCUGUGUAAAGUAUUUAGGGCAUUUGCUCUCCCAAGGUCAGACAUCCAUCCAGCCUGAUAGGUGCCAAGCACUGAUGAAUAUUUCAGCCCCUAAGACAAAGAGGCAGUUACAGGGAUUUCCAGGAAUGGCUGGUUUCUGCAGCAUCUGGAUCCCCAAUUUUGGGCUUAUUGCCAAAUUGUUGCACAUCACUGUGCAGGGCUCAGACAGAGAAACCCUGGAAUGGACUGCUGGAUGUA